rnacentral:rRNA from 1 species
UACGGAGGGAGCUAGCGUUGUUCGGAAUUACUGGGCGUAAAGCGCGCGUAGGCGGCUUUGUAAGUAAGAGGUGAAAGCCCAGAGCUCAACUCUGGAAUUGCCUUUUAGACUGCAUCGCUUGAAUCAUGGAGAGGUCAGUGGAAUUCCGAGUGUAGAGGUGAAAUUCGUAGAUAUUCGGAAGAACACCAGUGGCGAAGGCGGCUGACUGGACAUGUAUUGACGCUGAGGUGCGAAAGCGUGGGGAGCAAACAGG